AAUAUAAAUAAAAAAGUAAAAUGAAAAAGAAAAAAAAAGACUUUUCAACUUUUUUCGUCUUCCCAGCAAAACUCCAACCCAAUGUUUUCAUUUAUUAUCUUAAUUUUUCUUCCCUUCCCGUUUUGUCUGUUUUUUUCCUUCAUCUUCCUCUUCAAUAAUUUUUUCUAGUCUCCAUGUGUAUUAGCACUAUCUUCUACACAAUCAAAUCCAAACUCAUGUGAUACCUAGGAUGGGAGAAGCCUCAAAUAAUUCGUCUCACUCUGAUUCUUUCAUUCUAAGUUGGGUCUCGAUUAACCUGUAUCUGAGUGACCAAAAAGGGACAAACCAUACAAAACCCAGCCUCUUAGUUCUUUCCUUUAAUUUAAAACAGAAGCUGGAAAGAGGAUACAUCAAUUUUGCAAGGAGAAUUGGGAACAGAGAAGUAAGGAAGAGAGAUAUCAAGAGAGACGAUGGGUAAGUAGGGGAGAUAAAUGGGUGGGUAGGGGGAUGUGGAAAGACAGGUGGGUUGCAGGGGCUGCCAAGCAAGAUUUGUGUAGUAUGUUUCGGGCCUUUUCUUUUUCCUUUUUGUAUUUGUAAUUUUUUUAUCAUUUUGUAUUUAAAAAUAGGACCCACAAGUAACACAUGUCAAGUAAUAAAUAGCCUAACAUGAUGUGUUGUACAUGUCAGCACAUUUGGUAUACACGCUCUGGUGGAUGUGUUUAUUAGUACUCGUUUUUCAAGUUUGAGUGUUCAAAUGAGAAAGUUCA
rnacentral:lncRNA from 1 species